rnacentral:rRNA from 1 species
AACGAACGCUGGCGGCAUGCCUAACACAUGCAAGUCGAACGAGACCUUCGGGUCUAGUGGCGCACGGGUGCGUAACGCGUGGGAACCUGCCCUUAGGUUCGGAAUAACUACCCGAAAGGGGUGCUAAUACCGGAUAAUGUCUUCGGACCAAAGAUUUAUCGCCUUUGGAUGGGCCCGCGUUGGAUUAGCUAGUUGGUAGGGUAAAAGCCUACCAAGGCGACGAUCCAUAGCUGGUCUGAGAGGAUGAUCAGCCACACUGGGACUGAGACACGGCCCAGACUCCUACGGAAGGAAGCAGUGGGGAAUAAUGGACGAUGGGCGAACGCCUGAUACAGCAAUGCCGCGUGAGUGAUGAAGGCAUUAGGGUUGUAAAGCUCAUUUACCCGGGAAGCUAAUGACAGUACCGGGAGAAUAAGCCCCGGCUAACUCCGUG